rnacentral:misc_RNA from 1 species
AUUUAACACCUAGAUUGACUAAUAAAAAAAAAUCCACACGAGUUCCAUCACUAAAGAAGUGAAGUGGGAAAAAGAGAGUUAAUUGUAAGUACACAUUUGGGGGCCAAAUUCAACUUAGUUUCUAAAAUUUCACUAGAUUCUGGCUGAAUUGCAAGUAUCGUAAUGUCAUAACUAUUCCAAGCAUUCUUAUCGAAAACAGGUUUUUAGGAUAAAUGAAUUGGUGGUAGACUUGUGGGCUAGGUGGUAGGCUCACAUUGGGCUUAAUGGAAUAGAUGAGCUCUUGGUGACACCAUAAACACUCAGGAAAAAGAUAUUGAGAGCUGGGUGUGACUCACAAUGGACUUAGUCGAGUAGAUGAGCUCUUGGCGACAACAUAAACACUCAAGUAAAAGAUAACAAGCUUAGUGGUAGACUCGCAGUGGGUUUGGUGGAGUAGAGAUGCCAUAAAAACUCAAUUGUGGAUGAGAGGCACACUUGAGGGGAAGAUUAUUGGGAUAGCAAGUGUAAAGCAGGAAAGUACCACACAGG